GCCCGGCUGGCUCAGAGGUAGAGCACCUGACUCUUGAUCUCAGGGUCCUGAGUUCAAGCCCCAGGUUGGGAG
rnacentral:tRNA from 1 species